rnacentral:lncRNA from 1 species
GGGAAGAGGAGGAGAGGGAGGAGGGCUCAGAGGUGGUCUUAGGAGGAAGAGGAAGGGGGUUUUUAUCACCCUCUUGUCAUGGCUCUCCGCCGCGAAAAAUCAGGGCGGUUGAGUGAAAUCCGCGGCCACGGAUUGGCCGCGGAUUGACUGGAGGGGGGUGCCGCGGGAUACCCACGACGCCUUCGCCCUGAUCAUCCCCGAAGGAGCUGGAGAAUCGCGAUCCUCUGUUCCGGUCCUCCCAAAAUAGAAACGAGGCUGAAGUCGGCUGGGGCUGCCGACUUCAGCCCCAUAUCUCACAAUAGUACAUUUUAGAAAUACAUAUCUUAUUAUGAAUUCAAUGAUGUAGUAAUAUAAAAUGGAAAAUGCUGGAGGAUUCGUCAUAUGUUGUGCAUCAUGGGUUCUUAUGUUAUAUGUGGAUGUGUUUAUGGAUCGGGAUGGGCUUGGCUUUGCCCACAUAUCAACAUAAUUUAUAUCGAUUCAGGCUCGGUCUAGCUCGACCUUCAGGCCUAUCUUCCAAGUCCUAGCCAAAUCCUUGAUCUUCGGGCUUUAAGUUGGAACUCCAGUUUUUUGGCUAAAGUAUGAAUGAUUAAAUAUUGCUGACAAUCUAAACAUGUGUAUUGUUCCAUUAAGUUCAUAUAUCAGCAACAAUUGUCAAAUAAGUAAAUAAAUAUAACAAAUAGAAACAAACAAUACAAGAAAAUAAAAAAUAUUCAGGCUAAGCUGGCUUUAAUCCUCAUGUCCGAGUAUGGUCUAUUUAUUAAACAGGUUAGUUUUCCGGGCAUGGCUCUGCCCAUAGAGUCUAGAGCCUUGUCCUAAGGAUUCCGGGCUUUAGCAAGCCUAGCGGACUGCCCAACUAAUGAACAGGUAACGUUAAAAGGAACUUUAACAAAUGCUCAUACUCGAGAAGAGAUCAAAUGGCCUAAUAAAAAUACAUAUGACCACAUUGAGGACUCUCCAAUGUGGAUCAAAAAUUCCUGAAUGAACUCCACUCACCUUUCCUCUGAGCCAUGCUGACCUCCCUCAAGCUGAGCUUCUGCCUAAGAACGGGCUUUCUUUAACACUUGUGCGUGUGGAAGGUGAUUGCAUGAUGGCUUCCUUUAUAUAAUGAGAUCGCAUCGAGUCUGCCCAGCGGCCUUUGCUCUCCCUUCACCGUUCCCUCCCCUUGGGGAGAGGGAAAGAGAGGACUAUCCCUCUCCCAGGGAGAGGGGAAGAAUCAACAUUUUAUUUAUUUAUUUAUUUGCCCCUGAUCCGACAACAAGGAGCACAAGAACGUGAUAAUUUGGUAUUAAUCUUUAUCAGUGCAAGGGACAUAUGAUGCAGCGCGCAUGAGCCUAACCAGGAGCAUGCGCGAAACCAACAUGGAGCGUGUGGAUAAGCCCAAUCUCAUGCGUGCAGGCCACAUCAGCAACCCACACACAUGGACAAGUGCAUCCAUCGAAGGACUCUUCCCAAAGGCAAUACGCAAUAUAAUUGCGCAUCAUUCAUGGGCGCCAUCCAGCAUUCCUUAUUGAGUCAUGUUUUACCUUGUUUAGGAGUCAUCAAGAGUAUUUUUCCUUUUAGGAGUUUGGGUCUUUUCUUGGGCGUGUCCAAAUUUACAUUGAGUCCUUGGGUUCAUACGCCAAGAAAAAUUAAGUCCAUGAGUCCAAUCGUCAAGCACAUUGAGUCCAUGAGUCGUUUGAAGAGUCCUAGCUGAUUUGGAGUCUUAGUCUUUGUGUCCUUGAAGAGUCCUAACUGAUUGAGAGUCUUAGUAAUUUGUUAGUUGACUUCAUCAAAAGAUUCGAUUUGAUUUUAAAAGAGUCCUUGUUCAAGUAGGAGUCUGAUUUCUCCUAAAAUUCUGGUUGUGAUGCUUUCUAAUUUUCCAACCUCCUCUUCUA